GUCCUUUGGUUUUGGGGAAGAGAAAAAAACAAGUGACCUCCUUGAUACAUGCUAGUAUCUAAUGAAGAGCUUUCAGACUCAGCUAGAUGAAAGGAUCUGCUUUUAUUCAGGUGUGACUGGGCCUAUGAUAGUGUGCGAACAGGUGAGGGAACCCGGAGGCCAAGUUUGGCUGGGCCGGAGUCGUAUUAGGUAGAAGGGGGUGUAAUGGACCACCUUGCCUAUGAUGCGGAGCUUUAGUUUGGAGCCACAUUUUCACUGAGACAAGGGGAAAGCUCAAAUGGGGAAUUGGCCCCCGGAGGCAGCAGUAAAGAAUUUUGUGCAAUAUAUGAAGGUAAGACACAGAGAGGGCACCUUGCCUAGUCCGUCAAAUUAAGUGCCAGCAGACGCGGUGAAACUUAAGGGCUAGUUUUGUGGGCAAAAGCGUAAAGGGUGUGAUAGGCCGUUUUAAUUAAAAAGGGUUUUAUAAUUUAAGAAGGUAAAUGGAAUUUUUUUGUAGCGGUGGAAUGUGUAAAUAGAAAAAAGAACUUUAGACGUGAAGACUAUUUAUUUUUGAGAUUAUAGUGUGAUGGCUAAAACACGAGAGUAUGGGGAGCAAACAGGAUUAGGGACCCUGGUAGUCUAUACUGUAAAUAAUGAAAAAGAUGUGAAGCAAUCCUAAAAAAGUCAGAAAUUUUCCGCUUGAGUAGUACGACCGCAAGGUUAAAAUUCAAAAAACUUGGCUGUUCACUGUUUUAAUUAGAGGAGCGUGUCGUUUAAUUCGAUAGUCCGCGAGAGACCUUACCCAAACUUGAAUCCUUCAUUGACAGGUAUUGCAUGGCCGUCGUCAAUUUGUGUAUUAAACAUAAAACAGAUUUAACCCAGUGGUUUGUCACUUGGAUGAAGUCAGGUCUUAUUGUCCUAAUGUUUGGGGAUUAGAUGCGCUACAUUUUUUUUAUACAAUAGGAAACUUUGAGUGUGAAACCUGAAAAUAAGAGUUCGGAAAGUGCCUGGAAGAUAACGGAAAGUUGUAUUUAAUAGUAAUUGAAAAGUAGAGCGUUUCAAUGAAAUUUUUUCAGUGUUAGUACAAAUUGCCCGUCGCCUUUGCUUAGACAGGUUGGUUGAUUGCCCCUCAAGAGGGUUUCUAAUACCUCCGAGGCAGAGUAAGUCGUAACAUAGUGAGGGUGAGGGAACUGGCCCUUG
rnacentral:rRNA from 1 species